AUGAACGCUAGCUACAGGCUUAACACAUGCAAGUCGAGGGGCAGCAUGGUCUUAGCUUGCUAAGACUGAUGGCGACCGGCGCACGGGUGAGUAACACGUAUCCAACCUGCCGUCUACUCUUGGACAGCCUUCUGAAAGGAAGAUUAAUACAAGAUGGCAUCAUGAGUCCGCAUGUUCACAUGAUUAAAGGUAUUCCGGUAGACGAUGGGGAUGCGUUCCAUUAGAUAGUAGGCGGGGUAACGGCCCACCUAGUCUUCGAUGGAUAGGGGUUCUGAGAGGAAGGUCCCCCACAUUGGAACUGAGACACGGUCCAAACUCCUACGGGAGGCAGCAGUGAGGAAUAUUGGUCAAUGGGCGAGAGCCUGAAGCAGCCAAGUAGCGUGAAGGAUGACUGCCCUAUGGGUUGUAAACUUCUUUUAUAAAGGAAUAAAGUCGGGUAUGCAUACCCGUUUGCAUGUACUUUAUGAAUAAGGAUCGGCUAACUCCGUGCCAGCAGCCGCGGUAAUACGGAGGAUCCGAGCGUUAUCCGGAUUUAUUGGGUUUAAAGGGAGCGUAGAUGGAUGUUUAAGUCAGUUGUGAAAGUUUGCGGCUCAACCGUAAAAUUGCAGUUGAUACUGGAUAUCUUGAGUGCAGUUGAGGCAGGCGGAAUUCGUGGUGUAGCGGUGAAAUGCUUAGAUAUCACGAAGAACUCCGAUUGCGAAGGCAGCCUGCUAAGCUGCAACUGACAUUGAGGCUCGAAAGUGUGGGUAUCAAACAGGAUUAGAUACCCUGGUAGUCCACACGGUAAACGAUGAAUACUCGCUGUUUGCGAUAUACAGCAAGCGGCCAAGCGAAAGCGUUAAGUAUUCCACCUGGGGAGUACGCCGGCAACGGUGAAACUCAAAGGAAUUGACGGGGGCCCGCACAAGCGGAGGAACAUGUGGUUUAAUUCGAUGAUACGCGAGGAACCUUACCCGGGCUUAAAUUGCAGAUGAAUUACGGUGAAAGCCGUAAGCCGCAAGGCAUCUGUGAAGGUGCUGCAUGGUUGUCGUCAGCUCGUGCCGUGAGGUGUCGGCUUAAGUGCCAUAACGAGCGCAACCCUUGUUGUCAGUUACUAACAGGUCAUGCUGAGGACUCUGACAAGACUGCCAUCGUAAGAUGUGAGGAAGGUGGGGAUGACGUCAAAUCAGCACGGCCCUUACGUCCGGGGCUACACACGUGUUACAAUGGGGGGGUACAGAGGGCCGCUACCACGCGAGUGGAUGCCAAUCCCCAAAACCUCUCUCAGUUCGGACUGGAGUCUGCAACCCGACUCCACGAAGCUGGAUUCGCUAGUAAUCGCGCAUCAGCCACGGCGCGGUGAAUACGUUCCCGGGCCUUGUACACACCGCCCGUCAAGCCAUGGGAGCCGGGGGUACCUGAAGUGCGUAACCGCGAGGAGCGCCCUAGGGUAAAACUGGUGACUGGGGCU
rnacentral:rRNA from 1 species